rnacentral:rRNA from 1 species
GAGUUUGAUCCUGGCUCAGAUUGAACGCUGGCGGCAGGCUUAACACAUGCAAGUCGAGCGGAGAUGAGGUGCUUGCACCUUAUCUCAGCGGCGGACGGGUGAGUAAUGCUUAGGAAUCUGCCUAUUAGUGGGGGACAACAUUCCGAAAGGAAUGCUAAUACCGCAUACGUCCUACGGGAGAAAGCAGGGGAUCUUCGGACCUUGCGCUAAUAGAUGAGCCUAAGUCGGAUUAGCUAGUUGGUGGGUAAAGGCCUACCAAGGCGACGAUCUGUAGCGGGUCUGAGAGGAUGAUCCGCCACACUGGGACUGAGACACGGCCCAGACUCCUACGGGAGGCAGCAGUGGGGAAUAUUGGACAAUGGGGGGAACCCUGAUCCAGCCAUGCCGCGUGUGUGAAGAAGGCCUUAUGGUUGUAAAGCACUUUAAGCGAGGAGGAGGCUACUGAGACUAAUACUCUUGGAUAGUGGACGUUACUCGCAGAAUAAGCACCGGCUAACUCUGUGCC